UGUGCUUGUGGGCUCGAUCGAUGCCCCCUCCUCCUGCUUUUCCCGGGGCGCCGCCGCUUCCCGACCCAACGUCCGGCGGGCGGCGGCGAGCGAUAGCUUCGCUGCGGACGCGCGCUACUCCAGGAGGAUCUGGGUCCGGUGGGCAUCGGCGGCGGCGAGCGGAACUUCAGCUCCGGCCAGAUCGACCGCGCCCUCGCCGCUGGCCUCCGUGAGACCAGGUAUGUUCGCGCCUUUAGGCCAUCCUCGGCCGGAGCUUCGGCUAGGGCAGAAUUUAGCCAGCAACGACUUUUGUUACCACAUCGCCAGUUCUCAGACCGUGAGCGAGCUCAGUUUAUCAACAGAAUUUAGCCACAAUAGUGAGCAUCGCCGGUUCUGGCUGAGAUCGUGAGACCAGUCUAUCAACGCGGCCCCAAUAGUGGCAGACGCGUUGGACAUUAGCGUUUAGCUUCUUUUUUUUUUUAACAAAAAAAGAAGAACAAAUUGUUAUUAGUUGUUCGACCUGGGUGGUUUGUCACCCUUACCUAGUUGUUGACUUAGGGGAGUGUGAGAUGAAAGACUGAGCAAUUUUGUGUUCUUUGUGUUGUGCGUACAAAUGAUUGAUCAUCCAUGCAUUUCGGUUGGAACAAAAACUCACUGUUUCCUCUACAGCUGUAGGAGAUGAUCACAUCCUAGUUAGGGCCAGAAGUUCCAAUCAAAACCAAUUGCAUGCUCGAGAGUUAAAGGAGUGGUGUUCUCCAACAAGAUCUUGUUGGCGUGUUACUUUGCUUAUGGUGAUGAUCUCAGUAAUCCGGAGCUGAGGAUGCAGUAUUAUAUAUUUAUGCAAUAAUAACAAUGAUCAUGGAGGUGAGUAUACUGUACAGCGAUUUAUAUUUUAUAAAAGAACUCCUUUUACUAGCUGUUUAGUUCUGGCCAGUUUCUUGUUUGUUUGUUAUGAGCAUUGGUUGUUAUUUCCUCCAGUCAAAAUUUUUUAUUGUUUACGACAAGAUUUGGUCAAACUUAUAAAAUUCUGACAAAUGAUUUUAUGUUAUAAGAAAUUUACAAAAUCUAAUAAGUUUAUGAUAUUAUGAUAGUACUCUUCGAGGAGAAUAUAUGUGUACAUUUAUCUUGUAUUUAAACUAAACAUUUAAGAAAUUAUCGAUGGUUGGAAUUUUCAAAGUUUGACCAAAUCUCGUCCUAAACGACAUAUUUUUGACCGGAGAGAGUACUUUUGAGCUCAGGCAAGGUUGAUGUAAUACAAUCUAGAAUGGCAAGAUAUUGAUUUAUGUUAGUCAUGUGUUCUUAUUGGAAGCAUUUGAGACCACAUCUGUUUCUCUAAAAAUGCAAAGGUCACCUUAAUAACUUUCUUCUAGAAUAUAUGCAAUUAGCAUGGUGACUUGCACAUAUUGCGUAGCAUCAUUAUAAAUAUUGUAUGUACACAUGGGUUCUUAUCUUGAUAUUAAUUAUUUUUAAAUUUUUAAUUCGAAUUUCAGAUUUUUCUAAAUUGUAUUGCUAUGAGGAACAUUACAUUAUUUUUCUUUAUUUUUUAAUUCUCAAUUUGUAUUUAUACUUGUAUCCUAAACUUGUACUUGUACAUAAACUCUUUUCUAUAUACUAUUUAUUUUUUAAUUCAAAUUUUAGAUACUUUUAAAUUGUAUUUGUACGCUGACUCUUUCUCUUAAAUUACUUAUUUUAAAGCUAAUUUUUAGAUAUUUCAAAAUUGUAUUUAUAGACAAACUCUUCAGUCAAUAUUAUUUUUUAAAUUUUCAAUCCAAAUUUUGUAUUUUCCUAAAUUGUAUUUACACAUGGACUAUUUUUUUAGUUUUCUUUAUUUUAAAUUCCUAAAUUGUAUUUCUAACUGGAUUCUAUUGUUUGUUUUUCGAUUAAUGUGAGAUUGUCUAGCCGGUGAGAACGAAUGUGGUGUCUCCUUUUCCUAUUACUUUAUAUAUAAAAUAGAUUCCUGAUGUGUUGUCGACAUGAUUUAUACCUAUUUUGACUGUAACACUUCAAAAAUGCCAUUAAAUAUCAUUUUUUUUAACAAUGCAGCAUUUUCUCAUGGCUUUUGUGGUAAUGCUGUGCCAGCCUUUACUUUUUAGCUCUACUGUUAUUUAUGUUUAAAGUAGAAGGGUAUAUACAUUAUGCUUUAGGUUUGUUCUUCCUGAAUUAGCAUGGCAGGUUGAGCUGCUUAUUAGUAAUGCUUUCUGUAGGUUAUCUUGGAGAUUGAUGAAACAAUAGUCAAAAGCCACCCCUAAUAAAACAAUAAAUAUUCUAAAUACUCGGUAGAAAUUAUCAGCAUAUUAAAAUGGUGACAAAGGUACACAUUAUUUCGUUCUCCUGCAAACAGUCGAUGUGGCCACUUGGAAAUGAAAUCUUGAGGGCGAUAGCCUUUAUCAUUGAUUUCUAUCAUUUUCUCUAAUUGUGGGGAAGGAGUAUAAAGGAGUGCGAUUAUUACAUAGUUAGCACCAUUGAUUUCUAUCAUUUUCUCUCAAUCAAAUGCCAGUUCUACUUUUUAAGACAUAUAUGAGCAUCUCGUACUACUAUGGCAAUGUCACUGUGCCAUUUGUGCACUAGUUACCUGCAUUACCAUUUUUCAUACCUGGCCCAUCCAUCCAUUCUGGUACUUGGCAUACUCAACUAAUCUCAUAGAAACGUUCAGAUUUCUCCUCUGCUUCCAGUGUGUAAUAGUGACUGUGAAUAUGACGCCGGUGGUGGAGGAUGACGAACUUGCACACUUCCUUCCAUCAUCAGAACAACAUUCUUCAUUGAAGGUCGUGUCACCGGCUCGUUUUGAGUGCACCAAAUGCCGAUCUUCACCAUUCGCUCUAGCUCAAUCUCAUCUACAUCUUCACCAGCGGCCACUUCUUUCAGUCCACCAGAAACCACACACUCGUAUGCCCACUCAGAGAUGUUGCACUCCUCCCCGGCCAUCUUAAACUGCAUGCUUUUCUUGCAACUUAUGAUCUCAAGAAGCAUCACGCCAAAGCUAUAGACAUCUACCUUCACAGUGAUUGCAUUGUUCUUGCUCCACUCUGGUGCAAGAUAUCCACGUGUGCCCCGGAUGCCGGUGAAGGUCUUUGUUUGGUUUCCUACCAGUAGCUUUGCCAGGCCAAAAUCUGCAAUCUUUGCCAUCCCUGAGCUGUCAAUGAGUAUGUUCUCUGGCUUAAUAUCACAGUGGAUUAUAGGGACAUCUAUCUCCUCAUGGAGGUAUUGUAAGCCCCUAGCCACAUCCAGCGCAAUUGCAACCCUCUUGCUCCAGCUUGGUAAUGGUGUGUCGGGCUUGAAGAGGAGGUUGGUGAGGGAGCCAUUUGGCAUGUACUCAUAGACAAGAAGGCGGUAUGUGCUUUCGUUGCAGAUACCGAGCAAACACACCAGGUUCCUGUGGUGUGUUCGUGCAAUUGCACGUACUUCCCGUUGGAAUUCUCGCUCCCUGUUUUCUGCCAUCCUCUCAAGCCUCUUCACUGCAAUGACCUUGUUUCCACUGUUUGCUAGUACACCUCUGAACACUGUGCCAUAUGCACCCCUUCCUAGCUCUUGGGCAAAGCCAUCAGUUGACAGCUCUAGAUCAUGGAAAGAGUACGAUCGGAUGCCAAUGCUCUCCUCAUCAAAUUCAGUGUCUUGAUGCUGUGGAGCCCUUGUGUACCUUAAUAAUUGGUGGCGCUUACAGAGCACUACAGAUACUGUUAGCACAACAAUCGAGAAGAUGGCCAAUACAGAACCUGAUAUCAACAUGGAAACUGAGACAGAACUUCUAGUCUUCCUUAUAGGGCCUUUUGGUUCAUAGGAGUACACCUUCACAAAUAGCAUGGUGUUGCUACCCUGAACCAUCCUGCCAUACCUCAUAGGAAGCAUCUGUUUUGAACAGUAGGUGUCAAACAUGGCGAUCUCACAGGCACAGUCAGAAAGACAAAUUGAUUUGCACUCUUCAAUGGUUGUUGUUUGGGGUGGGAUGUUGUAUGACAAAUCUGACCAGCUAGUGUUCUUCACCAUGACCAUCGUGGCUAUCGGUCUGAUGUCACCACUAGAUCUAUUCCCUGUGCAACUGCCAGUCUGUACCCUCCAACAACCUUGAGUGGUUUGGUUAGCACUUGAGAAUUCAAACCCCGGAAGGCAGGAGCAGCUGGUUUCUCCACUAGCAGUGAUUUGGCAGAAGCUAUUUGGACCACAAACACCUUUCACUCCGCAGCGAUUGGUGCUGGAUGGCACCAACCAUUCAAUCUUUGUUAGGGGCUCCUUCCCUUGCUUGAAGAACACAUGCAAAUAGAGUCGCAACAAGCCGUCAGCAUCCAAUGUCAGAUGGUAGUAGCUCUCUGAAUUUGUGGAGGCACUCAGUGACUGAUUCGCCAGGAAUAGCACUUUUGUGUAUGAACUGUUUCUGUCAAACAACCAUACGGUACCAUUUGGGUGUAGUGAAAGAGUGAGAAGGAGGCCUCGAUCAGAAGUAUCACUCGCCCAGUAUGCGCUACCAGGGUCUCUCGUGCCAAUUGGAUACAUGACAAGGUUGCCAUCAUCCUGGUUGGCAAGGCGAUACUUUCCUGUGGCAUGUUUGUUGUUGGAGACGCUUGAGAACAGCUGAUUACCAGGAGGUAAGUUCUGCCCUGGUAAUAGAGUGUCCGUCGGAGAACCAAAGUUAGACCAUAAUACCUGCCUUUUGGCAUCAUACAACACAAAGUUGCCGGUGUCCAAUAUAGCAGCAGAGGUAGCUGAAGUAGGGGUGGCAGAAAUCAGUUUCCAUUGGCUGCCUUGGUUAGCAGGAAUCCAUUGAAGCGAACCACCGGCUGUUAACAGAAUUGAACCACCGGAAACAGGAGGAUCAUCUCUAAAGGCAGUCCACACGAUGGUCCUGGUUGCGCCAGUGGCAAGCCACACCCCAAUGGAGAAGCCCUCACCUUCAGGAUAGAAGCCAAACGCAAAGCGCCCCGAUGGGGAGACCCAGCUCUGCGUACCCGCUGCAUUGAUCUGAGAACCUUGAGGAAUGCUUCUUUCGCUGAUCUGAGCUCCCAUGGAAGGGUUGCCAUGGAUGAUGAACAGAAUCAGGUAUAGAGGGAUGGUGUAAGAGGCCAUUUUUUGACCAGAGAAGAGGAGGUUGUUCCUUUGGGCUAUGCAAAAUGAGAUGCUACCUUCUCAUAUGAGGAGAUAAAUUCAUGGUAGGUGUGGCCGCGUGUGUGCGCGUGGGCACCUGGACCUUGAAUAUUUGAACUGAAUGUAGGGACUUAAAAAGCAAACCUGGACCUUACACUGAACCUAGGGAAACAGAAGUGUCAAGUUAGUGGUGUGGACUGAAAGAGACCAACAUUUUUUUGUCAGCAUUAUCUUUUUGAAAAAGACAAUGAUCACAUCUUGAAUUCUAGAUGGCUAUGACCCAGUUGCUAUGUAUAUGCAUACAUUUUCGCCAGGCCAGCAGAAUGAAAAGGUGGCCAAGUCGCUAAAUGCUUUUUGUAAGUUGUAACCAAUAUUUGAUCUUUGUGACUAAAGAUGAUAUCAUCUUCAUUUCAACAUAUUAUAGGAUGUGCUGGUAAUCCCUAGGUUCAUAUGGAUGCUAAUAAACGCGGACACAUAUAUGAGACAUAUUCAUUGAUCAAUGCAUGAAUCUUGGUAGAACCAAAAUAUUUUAUAAUAUGGAUUGGAGGGAGUACCAUUUAGUUGGCAACCAUUUAGUUACCAAGCAAACGUUGGUAACUUUUUUUUUUAGGAACCCAGCAAUUGUUGCUCACUAGGUCCAUUUGUUGCUUUUAACUUUUUGCAUUUUUUGUGGGCUACGUGCAUCUUAGUUAUGCAUGGGCCGGAAAUAAUUUUAAUAAGGUCGUAUCAUCUCGAUGAAAUUGUCUUGAAGUUAAUAAAAAGCUUCUUUUAUCUUAAAAAAAGCAAUUGUUGGUAACUAUCUAUAAAGAUGUAAAGCGUAAUCUUUAUUAUGUUAGACCAUAUGGAACACAAAGGAUAAAAUGAAGUCAGCAGUCUUCCAGGUUGGCGUGGACCAAUCAACCAGUUCUUCCACGCUGAUGUAGACCAAGUCAGGAGGAGACUAGAGGUGGAAAAUGAACAGAAUUUGAUGCAAUGAAUUGGAAAAUGACAUGUGAACCGUCGAUUUUGGUUAGUGUUCAUCUAAGUGUCGUGCAAAUGCGUCAGCUGGGAUUAAUUUUGGUGAUGCACCUAUCUAUCUCUUCCUGCUCUGGAAGAGUUUAUUCGUUUUCAGUAAUCGCUUAGGGUUUUGUUGUCUUUGUGUGGUCCUUUUGCGUCUGCUGCUAAGUAGAUCGCGCUGUGCAACCAAUAUUUCUGCUCACUGCUUCUACUACCUUUGUUUUGUUUUUAACCAUCAAUCUGCAUAAUCUUAUCUAAGAUUCA
rnacentral:lncRNA from 1 species